rnacentral:sRNA from 1 species
CUACUUUCUGACGUUCAAGUCUCGAGUUACCAGGAGUUGACCAGGUCUGGCCGCAGAUGUCCACACAUGUUACACCUGGACUAUCAGGAAACACCCUGUUGGAAUGGUUCUCUGUUUUAAGCCAUUGGAUACAGCAGAAGAAGAAAUUUUUAAAAAAUUAUAAAGAAAAUAAAAGUUUUGAAAGAGAACAAACACAAUAUUAUUCGUUUCCAGCUGUGGAGAUAUUUUAUAAUGUGACAACCUGGCAAUGAUCUUAUUGUGACUGACUAUCCAUUUGCCAGAUAUUAUGUAUUUUUAACAGCAAAGUAUUUUAUUCUCAAAGACUAUAUCUGCAGACUUGGCCAACAUUAAGCUGUAAAUUGUUGGAUAUAUUAUUAGCCUUUCUUGUUGCUGUUGGUCACAAUACUCAAAAAUGGGACAACGACAAACGAAUGGAAAAUUGUUUCUCUUCAAUUUUUUCCUUGCGUGCCCUGCCUUUGUUUUGUACCUUGUUGGUUUCGCUUCUCACUUCUGGCUAGAAUCAAAAUUUGAAAUACCGCCACAG